CUACGGGUGGCAGCAGUGGGGAAUAUUGCACAAUGGGCGCAAGCCUGAUGCAGCCAUGCCGCGUGUAUGAAGAAGGCCUUCGGGUUGUAAAGUACUUUCAGCGGGGAGGAAGGGAGUAAAGUUAAUACCUUUGCUCAUUGACGUUACCCGCAGAAGAAGCACCGGCGAACUCCGUGCCAGCAGCCGCGGUGAAUACGGAGGGUGCAAGCGUUAGUCGGAAUUACUGGGCGUAAAGCGCACGCAGGCGGUUUGUUAAGUCAGAUGUGAAAUCCCCGGGCUCAACCUGGGAACUGCAUCUGAUACUGGCAAGCUGGAGUCUCGGAGAGGGGGGUAGAAUUCCAGGUGUAGCGGUGAAAUGCGUAGAGAUCUGGAGGAAUACCGGUGGCGAAGGCGGCCCCCUGGACGAAGACUGACGCUCAGGUGCGAAAGCGUGGGGAGCAAACAGGAUUAGAUACCCUUGUAGUC
rnacentral:rRNA from 1 species